rnacentral:rRNA from 1 species
UACUGUCUCCUUUUUCUAAUCAGUGAAACUAAUCUUCCCGUGAAGAAGCGGGAAUACCCCUAUAAGACGAGAAGACCCCAUGGAGCUUCAAACCCAACUACACCCCUAACUUCUAUAACCCCCACCCCACGGGACCCUGUAUAGUUGGUUUUAGGUUGGGGCAACCACGGAGCACAACAAAGCCUCCACAAUGAAUGGGACCACCCCCCUUAUCUAAGAGCCACACCCCUAGGAAUUAAAACAUUAAUAUAAAAUGAUCCAUUAUUUGAUCAAUGAACCAAGUUACCCUGGGGAUAACAGCGCAAUCCAUUUCAAGAGCCCCUAUCGACAAAUGGG